CCUACGGGAGGCAGCAGUCGAGAAUUUUUCUCAAUGGGCGAAAGCCUGAAGGAGCGACGCCGCGUGGAGGAUGAAGGUCUUCGGAUUGUAAACUCCUGUCAUUGGCGAACAAAGUCCGCUCUGCGGACCUGAUAGUAGUCAAAGAGGAAGAGACGGCUAACUCUGUGCCAGCAGCCGCGGUAAUACAGAGGUCUCAAGCGUUGUUCGGAUUUAUUGGGCGUAAAGGGUGCGUAGGCGGCCUUGUAAGUUGGGUGUGAAAUCUCGCGGCUCAACCGCGAAAAUGCACUCAAUACUGCUCGGCUAGAGUGCUAGAGAAGAGACUGGAAUUUACGGUGUAGCAGUGAAAUGCGUAGAUAUCGUAAGGAACGCCAGUGGCGAAAGCGAGUCUCUAGAUAGCUACUGACGCUGAGGCACGAAAGCUAGGGGAGCAAACGGGAUUAGAUACCCGAGUAGUC
rnacentral:rRNA from 1 species